GGUCCUGCGCCGAAAAUGUCCGGGGCUGAAACACGACACCGAAGCUUAGGAACAAAGAAACUAAAGUUUCUAUAUGUUGGUAGAGGAGCAUUGUUAGCGGAACGAAGCCAUACCGGAAGGAGUGGUGGACUGCUAAGAAGAGAGAAUGCCGGAAUGAGUAGCGAGAAUGAAGUGAGAAUCUUCAUGGCCGAAUAUCUAAGGUUUCCAGGGUAAAGCUGAUCUGCCCUGGGUAAGUCGGGGCCUAAGGCGAGGUCGAAAGACGUAGCCGAUGGACAACAGGUUGAAAUUCCUGUACUGCGAUAUAUCAGAAAUGUGGGGACACAGAAGGAAAGUGUGAGCCGGGAAAGGAAAGACCGGUGCAAGCACAGGAGGAGAGAUGCAGGCAAAUCCGCAUCCCAAUCCAAAGGUGUGACACGGAGCGAACAAAAGUAGCGAAGCACAUGGACCAUCUGUCGAGAAAAGCCGCUAUUGUGUAUAUCGUACCCGUACCGUAAACCGACACAGGUGGAUGAGGAGAGAAUCCUAAGGCCGGCGGGAGAAGCAUUGUUAAGGAACUCGGCAAAAUGACCCCGUAACUUCGGGAGAAGGGGUGCCUGCGAGAGCAGGCCGCAGAGAAUAGGCUCAAGCAACUGUUUAGCAAAAACACAGGUCUAUGCGAAACCGAAAGGUGAAGUAUAUGGGCUGACGCCUGCCCGGUGCUGGAAGGUUAAGAGGAGAGGUUAGCGCAAGCGAAGCUUUGAAUUUAAGCCCCAGUAAACGGCGGCCGUAACUAUAACGGUCCUAAGGUAGCGAAAUUCCUUGUCGGGUAAGUUCCGACCCGCACGAAAGGCGUAAUGAUUUGAGCACUGUCUCGACAAUGCAUCCGGUGAAAUUGAAGUACCAGUGAAGAUGCUGGUUACCCGCGCCAGGACGGAAAGACCCCAUGGAGCUUUACUCCAGUUUGGUACUGGGAUUCGGUACUGCAUGUACAGGAUAGGUGGGAGACUGAGAAAUUGGAACGCCAGUUUCAAUGGAGUCACUGUUGGGAUACCACCCCUGCAGUAUUGGGUUUCUAACCAGCCGCUGUGAUCCAGCGGUGGGACAAUGCCAGGCGGGGAGUUUGACUGGGGCGGUCGCCUCCGAAAGGGUAUCGGAGGCGCUCAAAGGUUCCCUCAGAAUGGUUGGAAACCAUUCGAAGAGUGCAAAGGCAGAAGGGAGCUUGACUGCGACACCGACGGGUGGAGCAGGUACGAAAGUAGGACUUAGUGAUCCGGUGGUAUAAAGUGGGAUUGCCAUCGCUCAACGGAUAAAAGCUACCCUGGGGAUAACAGGCUUAUCACUCCCAAGAGUUCACAUCGACGGAGUGGUUUGGCACCUCGAUGUCGGCUCAUCGCAUCCUGGGGCUGUAGCAGGUCCCAAGGGUUGGGCUGUUCGCCCAUUAAAGCGGUACGCGAGCUGGGUUCAGAACGUCGUGAGACAGUUCGGUCCCUAUCCGGCGCGGGCGGAGGAUAUUUGAGAGGAGCUGUCCUUAGUACGAGAGGACCGGGAUGGACGGACCACUGGUGUAUCUGCUGUCGACCAACGGCAUGGCAGAGUAGCCAAGUCCGGAAGGGAUAAACGCUGAAGGCAUCUAAGCGUGAAGCCCCCCUCAAGAUGAGAUAUCCCUCCUUCGGGAGUAAGACCCCUUGA
rnacentral:rRNA from 1 species